rnacentral:lncRNA from 1 species
UCAUUUUAUAUUGUUAACGUUUCAUUGCGUACAUCGCUUUAUGUGCGCCAGUUUUAGGAGUUUUAUACAGGACAGUGUAGGAAUCCGCGUUACUUUCCCCUCUCUUCUAAUGACGUAAACUGCUCAGCGAGUCGUGUGCACAACUGCAAAGAACAUUCAGCGGACACGUUGUCCAAAAGAACAAUUCGUGGCUAACCACAGCGUGAGUUACUUUCAAAACAUUACAAAUUAUGUAUUUACAUCAGCGA